rnacentral:piRNA from 1 species
UCGAAGAGUAACAAUGUCUCGGGGUGGUUU